CAUGCUGCUGAAGUUUACACUAUGGAAAUUAACGAAAUAUUACUAAAAAACAAGCCUAUGGCGGUGUCUAUUUCAAGAUGAAUAAUAAACAAAAUUCAAUUCUCUAUUUGUUGAUAUAACUUGUAAAGCAUGAUGACCUCUGGCAUUUACGAGGUUUGGUGUUGAAAACUGCAGACCAUGAUUAUCACCCACAGUUGCGCACGGUUUUCUGUACUGCUUUCGCUAGCAAACGCCAGUGCUUGCAUUUGAUUGGUCUAACGGCGUUUCUUUUGCUAAUUGAGAACACUCUUCAGUUUUAUUUUUGUUUCUGUGUAUUUUGUUGAUUUUGUUGUCGGAUUUGGUGGUAUUAGGCAAGGUAUUAGGCAUUAUUCAGUCACACAGUUCCCGUGGUAUUAUGGUAAGCAAUUUUAAUGUUUUAUUGUGAUAGGCUACGUGUGCCAGAUUGGGUGAUUUUGUUUUAAGUUUUUGUUCUAUGGUUUAGUUGAGAUGCAAAUCACCAGUGCAGAUCGUUUGUUGCAAGGUCAAGGCGUACCUACAUUGUUUGUUUUUAUUGAUUUGUCAUGCCUCAAUUACCAAUCCUUCGAAGUAUGUAGUCUAUCGCAAGUCUCUAUAAACCUAAUACCUAGAUACAUUUUGUGCAUCCGCUCUCUCUUUGCGCGCUUCCAUGGUGUUCUCCCUCUCGAUUCCAUCCUCUUCUUCUCCUCCACGUAUCAACCCCCUGCUUCAGAUGGCCAUUGAGGUAGGUGCCUUUGGAGCUUGCAGCAAUGAGCGUUAGAAUUAAAUUACCAGAAAUAAAUGAUGCUGUGAAAAUUAAUCAACAAAAGGUGACAAGAAUUAGCUAUUAAAAUAUUAUAUCACUAAAAAAGUAUAUUUGUGUAGCUAUCAUGAGAUACAUGUCCUGCCCCUCUGGCCAAUCCUGGUCAGUCCUGCUCCGGGUUGUACAGACAACUACGAGGUAAGAAUACCCUAUGUGGGAAGCCCGAAGCUCCCCCAGGAGUAUGGCCAUAAUAGCUGGGUUUGGUGAGUGUCACAGGACUGAUGCUGAUGCUGAUGAUGUGGUCAGGCUGUCACCUUUGCAUCGGUAGCCCUAUAAACACAGGUCGGGGGGGGGGGAGGGUAUUAGUAGGAUAAGCUUAGGAUGCUGGUUAAGCCCUUUCCUCGUCACCCGCCUUUGUCACCAGUUUUCUCCUCAGCCUCCAGAGCUGGUAGAGUCCAUCCUUGUUCUGCUCCAUCUCUUUUCUAUCAUCGUUAAAGAGGAAUGCUUCCAGUACCUCGUUGGGUUCUUCCACGUAUGGCCUCAGUAGAGCUAGUUUUCAUUGUCUUUCUUGUGUUAGCUUGGUACACUCUAGCAUAAAAUGGACUUCAUUUCCUUCUUCUUUUCCACAGAGCUUAAUCACCGUUAUCACCUCAUCCACCGUCUGCUCAAUGUAUGAGGAAUACAGAGACAAAGGCUGUUGAUAAUUAAACAAUUUCUGUGCUUUCUCAGGAAGUCAGUACUUUGUUAGAUAUGUGAUGAGUUUAACGUAGACAAUUGCAGUCUUAUGUGUCGAUGAAACUAAAAGUCUUGGAAACAUAAUAAGCUUAGCAUAACAUUCUGCCAUUGUGUUCAUGUGGCUGGCUUUGUCGUUUCUAUUGUAGGUACUAGGUAUGCUUUGUGGAUUCUGAGUUUUGACCAUAUUAUCUUCCACCAGGCUCAUUGCUGGCAGUGGUUCAGGAGACAGUCGUUCGAUUCCAGCUGUAGAACGUCACCUGCAGGAAGUAGCAUUAUGAUGGCCAGCCACGUGGCGCUUGUAUCCAGCCACAUUGUCCAGAAACCAUCACAUCAUCUCCAGGUCACUGGUCGCGGGUGCUCGAGCUGACUGUGUCUUCAACGGCUCCACGGUGACCAGCGCCGCCACCGCCGAGACCAUCCGAUUCCUGAAAUGAUAAUGGCCGUACACGAACAAGAGGCUCUAUGCAUCUAGUUGCGAGUCAAGCGCCAUGCUCAGAGGCGUCAUCCGGAGAAGGCCGCACAGUGCACUUUAGGCUGAGCUCUGGUGUAGUGCGCGCUGACGGAUAGGAUGAAAUUACGGGCCGGCCAUCAGAUUUCAGUGCGGGGAUCAAGAUGGUCGGAGCCGACGUGGCUUGGUUGAUGGUGUGUCAGGGACCAGGGUUGAUUGAAAGUGGAGGCGAGACGACCAAAUGUGAAGGAUACACCGAUACGGGUCUCGACGUCGUCUCGCAAUUUGUGCUAUGUAAUAUGACGGUUAUGCCGUGGUAUCAUUCACUCUCGAUGCGCUAAUAUGUAGUAAAUAGGACAGAGACUGGAAUUAAUAUUAUUAUAUUUGGAUGUAAGGGCCAGGUUUUGACCAGCGCUAUAUUAGAAAUCGUGAGCGUGCUAGUUGCAAUCAAUCGCGCGCUUCUUGCUGAGCAUCUGUGAGCGAAAAAAUACUUUCUCUGGAACGUUCGUCGUAAAAUAUGUGUAUCUUUGGAAUAAGUUGUCAGAACAUGAA